AGUGAACGCUGGCGGCAGGCCUAACACAUGCAAGUCGAACGGCAGCACAGAGGAGCUUGCUCCUUGGGUGGCGAGUGGCGGACGGGUGAGGAAUGCGUCGGAAUCUGCCUUUUUGUGGGGGAUAACGUAGGGAAACUUACGCUAAUACCGCAUACGACCUACGGGUGAAAGUGGGGGACCGCAAGGCCUCACGCAGAAAGAUGAGCCGACGCCGGAUUAGCUAGUUGGCGGGGUAAAGGCCCACCAAGGCGACGAUCCGUAGCUGGUCUGAGAGGAUGAUCAGCCACACUGGGACUGAGACACGGCCCAGACUCCUACGGGAGGCAGCAGUGGGGAAUAUUGGACAAUGGGCGCAAGCCUGAUCCAGCCAUGCCGCGUGUGUGAAGAAGGCCUUCGGGUUGUAAAGCACUUUUGUCCGGAAAGAAAAGCUUCGGGUUAAUAACCUGGAGUCAUGACGGUACCGGAAGAAUAAGCACCGGCUAACUUCGUGCCAGCCGCCGCAGUAACAC
rnacentral:rRNA from 1 species